rnacentral:tRNA from 3 species
GCCCGGAUGGUGGAAUUGGUAGACACGUCAGACUUAAAAUCUGAUGGCCGUAAGGCCGUGCGGGUUCAAUUCCCGCUCCGGGUA